GGGUCUGGUGCCGAUUGUUCGGUGUUCGUGUUGGGCGAGUAGUAGUGCAGAUCUCGCAUGCUCCGUCCUUUGUGCACAUGAUAUGCAGAUAUGGUUGUUUCGUUUCUCUGUGCGUGUGUGUGAGAGAGAGAUUGUGUGUCUGUCUGUACAUCUGCACGCCUGUCGGUUCGCAGGAGUGUUCAUUGGUUGGCCUGCUCGCGUGAGUUUGCCUGUCUGCCCAUUUGUCUGUCAGUCGAUCAGCGUGAGCAUGCCUGCCUGUCUGUCUGUCUGUCUGUCUGUCUGUCUGUCUGUCUGUCUGUCUGUCUGUCUGUCUGUCUGUCUGUCUGUCUGUCUGCAUAGACGGUAAAGGUUCUUGCGGAAGAGGGGAUUCCGG
rnacentral:lncRNA from 1 species